UACCAGCGGAUUGCGCUUCACCGUGUCUACCCAUCUUUCUCGAUCCACCAUGAUUUUUUCUGCUAUCGCACUCACCCGGGAGUUAGGCAUCCUCAGUCUGUCCAGAACUUUCGUUGUGGAAGGAUGUGCGGGAGUGAUGUGCGAUUUCUUGUGUCCCCUACUUUCCUUGUUUACGUUUUGCGCAGUGUUGCUUCUUCUUCCAUUGUGGAAUGAUUUAUCCAAGCUAACUUGUUGAGUUACAGAUGCAUGCGCCAUUCAUCAACGCCUACCUGUUGGCAUCAUCAACAAUCUUCAAAGUGGGUGACAGAAAGAAAACGUUUUACAGGUGUAAAAUAUUAAGCGUUCAGCACAACUCAGCCACAAAACAACGCACUGGAUUACGCUAAGAACCUGUCGAAACGCGCGCAGCCCCCGAGAGCGGUAGGAGA